CGUAAAGUUCAAAUGUUUCAUGUCUGAAAAGCUCUGUCAAACUCUUCACAGCCUGCCAGAAUCGGAGCUCCGUCACAGCUGCUGGCUUGGACCCAAUCUUAAAAUUCUAGCUUAAGUCAAAGUUUUGGAAACACCUCUGGAAGAGCCCAGGGUCCUGAAUCCACAUUUCUGUAUUUGAAAAAUAAAUACUCAAGACUCAAAGAAGAGAGAACAGACUUUCCCUAAGAUGACUGGAUGAUGGCAGUCAUCUGCAAAGCAUACUGGAUGGAAACAAGACUCCUUAGCAGUAUAAUUGCCAAGAAGGUAUGUUAAAUGAGCCUUGCACAGGGCUUAAACACAAGAGUUGAUUGAAAAAGUCAACCCUAGCAGCACCAACUAACAUGGGCUGAAAUCUACCUGGAACAUACAGAAGGGAAUUUUCAGUAGAUGGGCAAGCUGAGAAGAUCAAUUUCCAGACAACUGUUGAAUGAAUUCUCUGGUGAAGAGGAGUUAGAAAUUAGUAUUAGAAACCCUCAGGAUGCCUUCUAUAGAGUGUUGUAUGGAAUUAUGCCUCAGUUAAGUAUAUUAAAUUAUGUCUGAUCCUCAUUCCAGAGUGCAAUUCAAUCAUUUUCAGUUAAUCCUAUUGUCUCUAUGAAGUCUUAAAUUAAAGAGUUCCUCCAGAGAUUAUCAUAGACAGGGAGUUAUGCUAAGUGGACCUUAACUGACCAUCAAAGUCAAGAUUCAUAUGUGCUGACUGGUAAGCCCUGCCACUGACAAAAUAUUAGGCAGCCUUUUCUUAAAUGAGUGGCAACACCAUAAAACUUACCAGUAGAUCAGCAACAGCAAAUGCACAUGUUUAAGUAAAAAUAAAGAAGAAAACAAGAAAAAUAAAUUCAUUAUUUGUCACCGUAAUAUUUCCAGGAGAAAAAGAACACUAUUACUUAUUAUUAGCACUCAGGUUACAAGACUUGAGAGUUAUGUGACAAGAUCAUUUGGAGACAACUUUCCAAGUUAUCAAAAUAAAUUUCUC
rnacentral:lncRNA from 1 species